rnacentral:tRNA from 1 species
AAGGGUAUAGCUCAGUGGUAGAGUGCAGUGCUUAGCAUGCACAAGGUUCUGGGUUCAAUCCCUGGUACCUCCA